rnacentral:rRNA from 1 species
AAUCAACGCUGGCGGCGUGCCUCAGACAUGCAAGUCGAACGAUUAAAGCUCUCUUCGGAGAGUGUAUAGAGUGGCGCACGGGUGAGUAACACGUAAGUAAUCUACCCUCGAGUGGGGAAUAACAACCGGAAACGGUUGCUAAUACCGCAUAAUGCAGCGGCACCGCAAGGUGACAGUUGUUAAAGAUUUAUCGCUUGAGGAGGAGCUUGCGGCAGAUUAGCUAGUUGGUAGGGUAACGGCUUACCAAGGCUACGAUCUGUAACCGGUCUAAGAGGGCGGUCGGUCACACUGACACUGAAUAACGGGUCAGACUCCUACGGGAGGCAGCAGUCGGGAAUUUUGGGCAAUGGGCGAAAGCCUGACCCAGCAACGCCGCGUGAAGGAUGAAGUAUUUCGGUAUGUAAACUUCGAAAGAAUAGGAAGAAUUAAUGACGGUACUAUUUAUAAGGUCCGGCUAACUACGUGCCAGCAGCCGCGGU